CAUUUUUCUUCGAAACUCGAAAGCGUGUGCUUUUUGGGAAGAAAAUUACCUUUUCGUGGAAAAUUCAGUGAAAACCAUGUUCAGACUCGAUGCUCUGCCCCAAGUGGACCCAAUUGAGGAGCGUCGGAAAGUGAGGGCUGCUGUGAACCAGAAUGUUGUGUCAUUCGUUGUUGUCUGUGCAGCAAUUCGAAUAGCUCCAUUCUUCAUGAAGCAGAUGCAACUGAGCUUUUAAACAAAUUUGGAUGAGAUUUUUUUUUUAAAUUUCACAGCCAACUAAUUAAUUUGUAGAUGUAAUUGACAGUAAUUCUAGGAGGCUAUGAAACAAACUUUUCAGAGAAAAAACGAAAGUUCUUGGUUGUAUUUUCAAAAAGUGUUUAAAGAAAUCACAAAAUAUUUAAAUCAUUUAAACAAGAAACAGAUAUCUUCUUAUAGUGAAAACAACUAAGUAACAUUUUAAAUUGUGAGAAAGGUAUUUUUACCCUCUGGAUCUUCCGAAUCUUUGAAAAGCUGCAAGUAAAAAAAAUAUCUGGUAUUUAGAGAAAAGCCUCAAAAAUUAGAUUUAGAAGUUCUUUUAAUUAAUUAUGUAUUGAAUUUGAUGUUUGUAAUGUUGAACUAGUCAAGAAUUUAAAAAAGAAAAAUAGUUUGUGUAAAUAAUAUUGUUCUCUGGCUAAAACAAUGAGAUAGAUGAAAUAAAAAAUGUAGAGA